CCCAGUUUCGAUGUAACCCACUCGUGCACCCCAACUGAUCUCAGCAUCUUUACUUUCACCCAGCGUUUCUGGGUGAGCAAAAACAGGAAGGCAAAAUGCCGCAAAAAAGGGAAUAAGGGCGACACGGAAAUGUUGAAUACUCAUACUCUUCCUUUUUCAAUAUUAUUGAAGCAUUUAUCAGGGUUAUUGUCUCAUGAGCGGAUACAUAUUUGAAUGUAUUUAGAAAAAUAAACAAAUAGGGGUUCCGCGCACAUUUCCCCGAAAAGUGCCACCUGACGUCUAAGAAACCAUUAUUAUCAUGACAUUAACCUAUAAAAAUAGGCGUAUCACGAGGCCCUUUCGUCUCGCGCGUUUCGGUGAUGACGGUGAAAACCUCUGACACAUGCAGCUCCCGGAGACGGUCACAGCUUGUCUGUAAGCGGAUGCCGGGAGCAGACAAGCCCGUCAGGGCGCGUCAGCGGGUGUUGGCGGGUGUCGGGGCUGGCUUAACUAUGCGGCAUCAGAGCAGAUUGUACUGAGAGUGCACCAUAUGCGGUGUGAAAUACCGCACAGAUGCGUAAGGAGAAAAUACCGCAUCAGGCGCCAUUCGCCAUUCAGGCUGCGCAACUGUUGGGAAGGGCGAUCGGUGCGGGCCUCUUCGCUAUUACGCCAGCUGGCGAAAGGGGGAUGUGCUGCAAGGCGAUUAAGUUGGGUAACGCCAGGGUUUUCCCAGUCACGACGUUGUAAAACGACGGCCAGUGAAUUCGAGCUCGGUACCGUAAUACGACUCACUAUAGGGCGACAUAUGAUCGAUGAUAUCCCAUGGGCGGCCGCCUGCAGACCAGGUCUAUCCAGAUUAUGGACCCUGGUGAAAAAUACCAAUAGUUUUUAUACCGUUACCCUGCUGGAUGCCGAUCCCAAGGCGGUCUUUUCUAAUACUCUGUUCCGGCGUGAACGUCGUGAUGAUGCGGCGAUCCAGUACAACAAGUAUUUCUGGAAGGAAGAUGCCCUAAUAUAUGCCGCAAGACUGGAGAUCUGGAUCCCUCGAGUCUAGAGUCGACCUGCAGGCAUGCAAGCCUGGCGUAAUCCAUGUCCAAUUUUCCC
rnacentral:rRNA from 1 species